rnacentral:misc_RNA from 1 species
GAGGACCAGGGAGAGACUGCGGAAAGCGGAUUUUCCAGGGGCUUCUUCCAGUCGGCGAUCCCUUCGACGAUUAAACGCAUUCCCCUCCUGGAGGAGAGUCCGGCUCGUCAGUCGAUAUUCUCCCUGCGCGGGCAUUAUUAAGGUGUGGGGAGGGGGGGAACGCGUGGUUAAAAUUCUCAUCUUGCAAAAACCAAAAAACUAAACACACAAACAUUUCUGCAAAAGCAUCGAUAAACUAAAAAGAAGCAAAAACCGGAGAGCAAGCGGUCAAGAACGAGACGUACCGAGCGAAAGAAUUUUUCCUACUUGCACUGCCUGGCACAAACACAUAC